GGUGGGGUUGAUGUCUAAAACAGAACCGAGGACAGACAACAGGCACUGAUCUCUUUGGCACUGCUCACAGUCUGAAAAGGAAUGUUUGAAAUCAAUUCCAAUAAAUCCCAACGUGAAGCUCCCUUCUUCAGCUGAGAGAAUUGGUCCGUCAGGACAAACCUGCCUGGAUCUCGUUAAACAGGUAUUUGUAAUCCUGGGAGAAGACAUUCCCUUUUCUGCCGUCUCCCAACAGGGAAGAGAUACAGGAGCUUGAAGGCACAUACCACCAGGCUCAAGGACACCUUCUAUCCCCAUUAUCAGACCACUGAAUAGACCUCUGGUACGAUAAGAUGGACUCUUGACCUCAGAGUCUAACUCGUUAUGAUCUUGCAGUCGGAGCCCGAGACAACCACAACGGGCUUUUCCUUCGCUCUCUCCGCCUCCUCUUGCUCUUGUCGCACGUAGUAAACCGGCCGCACGCAGCAGGUUUUACCCUUCAUCCUCGACUUCUGCAGAACAAGGGUAUCACGAUCCAGCACGACCAUGAGGGACGUUGCCAAAAUCCUUACUAAAAUCCAGCACCAAAUUCAGGAACGGAUACUAUCAGGUUUGAGGAACAGGAGCCUCCAAGUCCCACGCCUCCAGGUUCAGGAACAGCCACCAGCACAUACGCGGAACAGGAGCCUCCAAGUCCCACACCUCCAGGUUCAGGAACAGCCACCAGCACAUACGCGGAACAGGAGCCUCCAAGUCCCACACCUCCAGGUUCAGGAACAGCCACCAGCACAUAUGCGGAACAGGAGCCUUCAAGUCCCAUGCCUCCAGGUUCAGGAACAGCCACCAGCACAUACGCGGAACAGGAGCCUCCAAGUCCCACGCCUCCAGGUUCAGGAACAGCCACCAGCACAUACGCGGAACAGGAGCCUCCAAGUCCCUCACCUCCAGGUUCAGGAACAGCCACCAGCACAUACGCGGAACAGGAGUCUCCAAGUCCCACACCUCCAGGUUCAGGAACAGCCACCAGCACAUACGCGGAACAGGAGCCUCCAAGUCCCACACCUCCAGGUUCAGGAACUGCUACUUCCCUUCGGCCAUUAGGUUCCUGAAUCAAUCUGCACAACUCCACAGCUACUUCAGCCAUGGAACACUACGGACCACCUCUUGAGCUACUAGUGUUUGACUGAGUUGAUUUUGUACGAUGAUCUUGUUUUGCAGAGUCUUUUUUACCACUAGAUUGUACAAUUUCAUAUAUAACAUAUUUUGUUUGCUGUGACUGAUGCUGGAAGAAAACUUUUCAUUGUAUCUGUACCUCACCGUGCCUGUGCAUAUGACAAUAAAUCUGAUUGAAACUUGAACUUGGUAUUUCUUGACGCCCAACAGACACCUACCAACAUACUAAA